UACGUAGGGUGCAAGCGUUGUCCGGAAUUAUUGGGCGUAAAGAGCUCGUAGGCGGUUUGUUGCGUCGGCUGUGAAAUCCCCGAGGCUCAACCUCGGGUCUGCAGUCGAUACGAGCAAACUAGAGUGUUGCAGGGGAGACUGGAAUUCCUGGUGUAGCGGUGAAAGUGCGCAGAUAUCAGGAGGAACACCGGUGGCGAAGGCGGGUCACUGGCCC
rnacentral:rRNA from 1 species